AUUGAUUAAUACUAAGUUGGCGAGUGAGAUAAAACAAAGUAAAAGUGAACAAUAAGGUAUCGUUUGGUUCGGAGAUAAGCACAAAGUGGCUAUUCCAGGAAUAGCCAUAAAUUGAGGGAUAAGCGGGGAUUAGAUAAAUUUUGUGUUUGAAUGAAAAUUGGGUUAUUCCGGGGAAUAAAAAAAAAUAACGUUUGGUUAGGUAAGAUGGAUUAAGAAAGUCAGUGGGUUUUAUAAAAAAAAAUUAAUGAUAUUACUCUUUUAUUAUAUUUGAAUUUGAAUUUUUAAAAUUUUAAAUUUAAAAUUUUAA
rnacentral:lncRNA from 1 species